UACGGAGGAUGCAAGCGUUAUCCGGAAUGAUUGGGCGUAAAGCGUCCGCAGGUGGCUAUGUAAGUCUGCUGUUAAAGAGUGAGGCUCAACCUCAUAAGAGCAGUGGAAACUACAUGGCUAGAGUGCGGUAGGGGCAGAGGGAAUUCCUGGUGUAGCGGUGAAAUGCGUAGAGAUCAGGAAGAACACCGGUGGCGAAAGCGCUCUGCUAGGCCGCAACUGACACUCAUGGACGAAAGCUAGGGGAGCGAAUGGG
rnacentral:rRNA from 1 species